rnacentral:lncRNA from 1 species
CACUUAGCCACUGUUUUUCUUUUCAUUGCAGAGAAAGAGGCUGAAAUUUAGGAAUAACAUGGACUCUCAAAACCAGCCCCUGAAUUGUGGUUCUCUAUCCUGUAUCUUGAUGCCACUGAUAACUUGCAUCCUAGCCGGACUGCAGGAAAACCUCCCAUUAGCCAAGCAGAGGUCAGUCGGUUGCAUAACUAUUCUCGCCCUUGCAUGUAAAAUGCAGAUAUGUGUGCUUUAGCGCUUGCUCUGCCAGCUGUGCCAGUUCUCCUGAGGACACAGCCAUUCUUCCCAACAAUUCUUUCUGUGGUUGUCUCCCAACACCCACUCCCUUUGGGCGCAUGCUCCAGCUAACUAACAAACACAUAACUGCCUCUGUGCUUCGUAGCACAGACUAGGAAGUCAGGAAGAGAUGAGAGGGAGAAGCCCUGGUCGAGAUGAAAUCGGUCGACAUACUGAAGAAAUAAGCCUGUUUGGGUCUGCGGGUGGGUGGGUGUAUAUUUGAACGCAGCCAAAGUGAAUACAGCAAGCUUCCACGCAUUCAAAAGUUUCUAAGGACCGAGAGCAAGAAUCAACAACAAUAAAACCUUCAACUAGUAAUAAUCAAGGAAGCAAUCCGGAGUCUGUGCUUCCUAAUAUGUCUUCCUGCCCCAAUUAGAUGCAGAUGGUUUUGUGGGACGUUGUCAUCAUAUAUAUUACAGACUCAGGUGGGUGGGUGGGUAUGGAACUUAUUUUGCAAGCCUGGGCAGGACCAAGGCUUGAAAACAAUAUUUUAAGAGAUUUGUCAAUGUCUGCAUGGAAGUAGACAAUCUUGAGCCCCAGCUUCAUUUCUGUGCUUUUUUGUUUUGCUUUUACAUCCUGAUCCAUUGGGCUAUAAUUAUUAGUUGACACUGAAGACAUUAGUCAACGUAUAUUUAUAGUUGAGCAUGCACAGAUUCCAAGUGAACAGGAUGCUUUGCAGAACAGGUUAGCCUCAGUAGCCUGGACAGACAGUCCUGACGUGGCCUGGCUAUGCUAUUUGCAGUUAACCAAAACAAGUGAGUUAAGGGGCAGGGCACUAACCUUCUGCAGAUAGGAGUAUUUCCAUUUUAGGCAGUAGCGUGCAGUUGUAAGCAUUGUGCUUGUGAGCAAAGGUUGCAAAAUAGUUGCUCCUCCGCAAAAUGGGCAAGGUAAAUGCACCCUGAUUAAAAACUAUUACAGACAGUGUUGUCAAAUUGUGUGUGUGUGUGCAUUUAGGGACUCCACUACUAUAAACCUAGAAAAUUUACUUUCAUAAUGAUGUACAGGCAUGAUGGCAGAGAUCAUCUUCAGAGGCAUGUUUAGGUCAUACCCUUACAUUCUCUGCAAGGGCAGCACCUGAUUCUUCUCCAUCGCUAGAAUCACGUCUCCCCUCUGAUUCGUGCGUUUCAUGUGCACGGUUUAAAAGCACCAGAAAAUGACUUCUCUCAGAAAGGAGCAGCUUAAACCAUGGGGGAUGGGAGAACGGAUGAUUGAGGAUGAAUAUCUCCAGCUGUAAGAAAAUCGAACACCUACCAAUCCCCCGUUGCAAACAGAGUCCCUCGGGUAGGACUAGAAGCAGUACUCUUCCCGCAUUUUACUUCAGCAAUCAUCUCCCUGGACAGAUUGCAUUUCUCCUCCUAAAAGGAGGAAGCUUGCUGUCUGAAGUUUUUUUUUUUUUUUUUGCCCUCUGCAGUUCCACACCCCCAUCUGUUUCCUGUGGCUUCUUGCUGCAAAUACAGAUCUUCCUUUUUUAUUCUGUUUCCCCAUUUGAUUCAUCUGAAAAUGGGAGGGUUCUCUGAAAUCCAGUUGUCUGUAAUCUCUGGAAUAUAUGAGUUUGUGAAUGAUGGCAGUGGCUGGAAACAUCUGGGGUGGGGGUGUUGCAAGAUAGCAAAUUGUCAUAAGAAUAUGGGGGGCUGCUUUAUUUAUCCAUGUGUACUCUGAUAGGCCCUGGAAAAGACCCUGAUGUUGGGAAAGAUGGAGGGCACAAGGAGAAGGGGACGACAGAGGACGAGAUGGUUGGACGGUGUUCUCGAAGCUACCAGAAUGAGUUUGACCAAACUGCGGGAGGCAGUGGAAGACAGGAGUGCCUGGCGUGCUCUGGUCCAUGGGGUCACGAAGAGUUGGACACGACUAAACGACUAAACAACAAUAACUCUGAUAGGUCAUGUCUCUUUCCACCUUCUCAGGCAGAGAGGUACAGUGGUACCUCAGGUUACAUACGCUUCAAGUUACAUACACUUCAGGUUACAGACUCUGCUAACCCAGAAAUAUUACCUCGGGUUAAGAACUUUGCUUCAGGAUGAGAACAGAAAUCGUGCUCCGGCGGUGCGGCUGCAGCAGGAGGCCCCAUUAGCUAAAGUGGUACCUCAGGUUAAGAACAGUUUCAAGUUAAGAACGGACCUCCGGAACGAAUUAAGUACUUAACCCAAGGUACCACUGUAUUUCCACUUAAUGUCUGUCACAGGGAUGUCCAACUUCCAAAGCUUUUGAACUUUUUGGGGGGAGUCAGAACCAAAGUAGUUGAGCUUUUUUGUGUUUUCCGGCAAUCGAACAUGCUUUUGGCUGGGAUCGACCAGGAACGCAACGCGAUCGACCGGUAGAUCGCGAUAGACUGGUUGAAUAUCUAUCAGGUCCUUUUAGGUAAAACAUGGGGAAAAUCUGUGUCCUUCCAGAUGUUCUUAGACUUCAACUUUCACCAGUGCACUGGUAAGGAAGGAUGGGAGUUGUAGUCCAACAACAUCUGGAUGGCCACAAGCUGCUCAUCCCUGUUUUAGCUAGAGAGGCCAAUGAUUAAACCUACACCACACAAAGCAUGUGUUAAGAGUCCUACCCUGAGGCAUGAAUAAUUCCCGUGGAGCAAGAAUGGUAGGUAUACCUCUGCUCCCCCUUGGCAAUGGGAAACUCCUUUCUCUUAGGCAGCCAUGCUUACCUUUUCUUACUUAUCCAUCACGAUGAGGCAAAGGCUCCUACCUAGACUGUACAGUUCCUCGCCUUUGGGCAAGGCAGGUGCAAGGAAUCAUCUGGCAAGAAAUCAAAGUGGCAGCUUCAAUUUUCUUUUCCCUGGUGAGGCAAACAAUAGGCUAAAAGAAGGACCAUGGGGAUUUCUGCAUGUCCCUCUCUGUCAACACAGAGCAAUUUACCCGCGUUCAUCAUCAUAAACACUCGCUGUAAAUUGUUCAGCCGGAUCUGUGAUGCAGCAAAAAGGUGG